UCUUGGCUCAGGACGAACGCUGGCGGCGUGCCUAAUACAUGCAAGUAGAACGCUGAAGAGAGGAGCUUGCUCUUCUUGGAUGAGUUGCGAACGGGUGAGUAACGCGUAGGUAACCUGCCUUGUAGCGGGGGAUAACUAUUGGAAACGAUAGCUAAUACCGCAUAACAAUGGAUGACACAUGUCAUUUAUUUGAAAGGGGCAAUUGCUCCACUACAAGAUGGACCUGCGUUGUAUUAGCUAGUAGGUGAGGUAACGGCUCACCUAGGCGACGAUACAUAGCCGACCUGAGAGGGUGAUCGGCCACACUGGGACUGAGACACGGCCCAGACUCCUACGGGAGGCAGCAGUAGGGAAUCUUCGGCAAUGGGGGCAACCCUGACCGAGCAACGCCGCGUGAGUGAAGAAGGUUUUCGGAUCGUAAAGCUCUGUUGUAAGUCAAGAACGAGUGUGAGAGUGGAAAGUUCACACUGUGACGGUAGCUUACCAGAAAGGGACGGCUAACUACGUGCCAGCAGCCGCGGUAAUACGUAGGUCCCGAGCGUUGUCCGGAUUUAUUGGGCGUAAAGCGAGCGCAGGCGGUUUGAUAAGUCUGAAGUUAAAGGCUGUGGCUCAACCAUAGUUCGCUUUGGAAACUGUCAAACUUGAGUGCAGAAGGGGAGAGUGGAAUUCCAUGUGUAGCGGUGAAAUGCGUAGAUAUAUGGAGGAACACCGGUGGCGAAAGCGGCUCUCUGGUCUGUAACUGACGCUGAGGCUCGAAAGCGUGGGGAGCGAACAGGAUUAGAUACCCUGGUAGUCCACGCCGUAAACGAUGAGUGCUAGGUGUUGGAUCCUUUCCGGGAUUCAGUGCCGCAGCUAACGCAUUAAGCACUCCGCCUGGGGAGUACGACCGCAAGGUUGAAACUCAAAGGAAUUGACGGGGGCCCGCACAAGCGGUGGAGCAUGUGGUUUAAUUCGAAGCAACGCGAAGAACCUUACCAGGUCUUGACAUCCCGAUGCUAUUUCUAGAGAUAGAAAGUUACUUCGGUACAUCGGUGACAGGUGGUGCAUGGUUGUCGUCAGCUCGUGUCGUGAGAUGUUGGGUUAAGUCCCGCAACGAGCGCAACCCCUAUUGUUAGUUGCCAUCAUUCAGUUGGGCACUCUAGCGAGACUGCCGGUAAUAAACCGGAGGAAGGUGGGGAUGACGUCAAAUCAUCAUGCCCCUUAUGACCUGGGCUACACACGUGCUACAAUGGUUGGUACAACGAGUUGCGAGUCGGUGACGGCAAGCUAAUCUCUUAAAGCCAAUCUCAGUUCGGAUUGUAGGCUGCAACUCGCCUACAUGAAGUCGGAAUCGCUAGUAAUCGCGGAUCAGCACGCCGCGGUGAAUACGUUCCCGGGCCUUGCACACACCGCCCGUC
rnacentral:rRNA from 1 species